GCGAAGCUUUUUGGUAGUUUACUACUAGAAAUGACUGAGCGGCGAACGGGUGAGUAACGCGUGAGCAAUCUACCUUAGUUACUGGGAUAGCCCGAGGAAACUCGGAUUAAUACCGGAUAUUCUUAUUUUUUCACAUGAAGUUUUAAGGAAAGGUCAGCCGAACUAAGAUGAGCUCGCGUUCUAUCAGCUAGUUGGUGGGGUAAAAGCCUACCAAGGCUACGACGGAUAGCUGGUCUGAGAGGACGAUCAGCCACACUGGGACUGAGACACGGCCCAGACUCCUACGGGAGGCUGCAGCAGGGAAUAUUGUGCAAUGAGCGAAAGCUUGACACAGCGACACCGCGUGUGGGAUGACGGUUCUAGGAUUGUAAACCACUUUCAGGAGGGAAGAAAAUGACGGUACCUCCACAAGAAGACCCGGCCAACUAUGUGCCAGCAGCCGCGGUAAUACAUAGGGGUCAAGCGUUGUCCGGAUUUAUUGGGCGUAAAGAGCUCGUAGGCGGUUCAACAAGUCGGUCGUAAAAGUUUAGGGCUCAACCCUAAAAUGUCGAUCGAUACUGUUGUGACUAGGAUACGGUAGAGGUGAAUGGAAUUCCGAGUGUAGCGGUGAAAUGCGUAGAUAUUCGGAGGAACACCAAUUGCGAAGGCAGUUCACUGGACCGUGAUCGACGCUGAGGGGCGAAAGCUAGGGGAGCAAACAGGAUUAGAU
rnacentral:rRNA from 1 species